GGUCGGCAUCUCCGCCCCAAUAUCCAUCAUCAAAGAGGUGGCAUUCAUGUAUCAAAGGGAUCAUCUGCGCAUAGAGGUACCAUGCAAAGAGGUCAUUCUAAGCGGAAGCGUGGAAAUGGACCUUAUCAAAUCAGGUUUUAGACAGAUUUAUUCUCACAAUUAACAGAGGUUUUUUUUCACAGAAGCAACAACAAGAAUCUUCCCUUUUUUGUUACUCCAAGAAGGUAAAGUAAGUAAACAUAUAUGGUGUUGUAUGUAUGCUGUAAGGAAUCAAAAUGGGGUUU